UGCCCGCACAUCCUUGCAUGGAAAAUUUGCAUCAGCAAAUGGGUAACCCAAACGUGCGACUCAUAGGAACCACAAGAGCAGACUGACUCAUUCCACCCAACGGACCAAAGGCUGCCACUUGGACAAUCACAAGGCCAUUACAUUAACGCUCCUUAAUUUUCUUUCCAUUGUACGGACGUGCUAUAGUAGAAUUACAAAGUAAACAACAAUAUAACAUUCUGGCUUAAUCACUGACCCUUUAUUUGGUAUUUACCUUGCCUAUUCUGUUAUUUGUACUAAUUUACCCUCCACUGGUCGGCCGGGCAGCUGACGUCACCAGAGUCGGUUUAUUCUUUCUGGGCCUUGGUCCUGUCCCUGUCAGGUCCAUCAGGGCAGCCAGCCAGCCCACUUUCCUUCCUAUAAUAAACCUUUUGCCUUCGCUUCACUUUUUCCUCAUUGCAUUUACUUCUUCUUCUUGAUGUUUCAUUUUCAACAUGGGCGAGAGAGAGAAGCUUUCAAUGGUGAAAGUGAGGCAUGAGCUUCUUCGAGUCAAUCUUGAAGCUAAACUCAUGCAUAACGACAUCAACAAGGCCACCAUUUAUGCCGCUUCAAGUGGUGGCGGAUUGCUCGCCGGCUUCCAGUUGGGAGCUGAAAGUCACUUUAUAACAGUGGCUUCUUCUUGAUUUGGUGCUAUCCUACCUGAGCUUUUUCUAUUAUUUAUUUUCUUUUUAAUUUUUAUUUUGGAUCUUCUUGACCUUGUAAGACCUUUUCUUGACCUUGUAAGACCCCAUUUUGUGUUCACUUUUUCUGUUUUUCAUAUUAUCAUGAACUCUGUAUCAAAAUUUCUUGAUAUAGAGUUCAGAAUCCGAUCUUUCCCGUUUCCGCCCAACUCAUAUUCUCCUUCCUUGUCUAUCCCUCCUGAGCUGCUUGAAUCAAACAAAUAUAUCUCUCCUCAAACUCACCCAAUUAAAAAGCAAUUUGCAAGGUCCAUGCAAGCCAUAGUCAUGGAGCUGCUCUUUGUUGCUAUGUGGGUUUACUUUCUUUCUUUCUUUCAUGUAAAAUUUACUUACGGAUGGUGUUUUUUGAGGCAGAGUUUGUGAAAAGAGUAGUAGAGCCACUAAUAAAAAGUAUUUUGUCUUCUAUUCUCAGAAAAAAAUAAAAAAAAUAAAAACCCUAUCUUUGUGAUAUUCUGUUGAGGCCAUCAUUUUAGAUUGUUAGUAUAUGUGGUGUUGCAGGCAUCAGUUUCGUUGUUUUAUAUGUUGUUGGCUGAGAAGUGAAUAAGAGAAUAAAUAUUCUCUCAGAUCUGUGUGUAAGACUUCUCCUCGUGACUGCUCUUUUGUACAAUACAAAUAUAUAUAUCCACUGUAUUAUUGGACCUUUCCCCCUC